rnacentral:rRNA from 1 species
AUUGAACGCUGGCGGCAGGCCUAACACAUGCAAGUCGAGCGAGCGGCGGACGGGUGAGUAAUGUAUGGGGAUCUGCCCGAUAGAGGGGGAUAACUACUGGAAACGGUGGCUAAUAGCUGUCACUGAAGGAGGGGAUUGCGUCUGAUUAGCGAGUAGGUAAGGUAAUGGCUUACCUAGGCGACGAUCCCUAGCUGGUCUGAGAGGAUGAUCAGCCACACUGGGACUGAGACACGGCCCAGACUCCUACGGGAGGCAGCAGUGGGGAAUAUUGCACAAUGGGCGCAAGCCUGAUGCAGCCAUGCCGCGUGUAUGAAGAAGGCCCUAGGGUUGUAAAGUACUUUCAGUCGGGAGGCGUUACCGACAGAAGAAGCACCGGCUAACUCCGUGCCAGCAGCCGCGGUAAUUC